UACAGAGGUCUCAACCGUUGUUCGGAUUCAUUGGGCGUAAAGGGUGCGUAGGCGGCGGGGCAAGUCAGGUGUGAAAUCUCGGGGCUCAACCCCGAAACUGCACUUGAUACUGCCUUGCUCGAGUACUGGAGAGGAGACUGGAAUUUACGGUGUAGCAGUGAAAUGCGUAGAUAUCGUAAGGAAGACCAGUGGCGAAGGCGAGUCUCUGGACAGUUCCUGACGCUGAGGCACGAAGGUCAGGGGAGCAAACGGG
rnacentral:rRNA from 1 species